rnacentral:rRNA from 1 species
AACGAACGCUGGCGGCAUGCCUAACACAUGCAAGUCGAACGGGAUCCUAGCUUCGGUUAGGUGAGAGUGGCGGACGGGUGAGUAACACGUGGGAACCUGCCCAUUGGUUCGGGAUAACCGCGGGAAACUGCGGCUAAUACCGGAUGUACCCGAGAGGGGAAAGAUUUAUCGCCGAUGGAGGGGCCCGCGUCCGAUUAGGUAGUUGGUAGGGUAAUGGCCUACCAAGCCAACGAUCGGUAGCUGGUCUGAGAGGAUGAUCAGCCACACUGGGACUGAGAUACGGCCCAGACUCCUACGGGUGGCUG